rnacentral:rRNA from 1 species
GACGAACGCUGGCGGCGUGCCUAAUACAUGCAAGUAGAACGCUGAAGGAGGAGCUUGCUUCUCUGGAUGAGUUGCGAACGGGUGAGUAACGCGUAGGUAACCUGCCUGGUAGCGGGGGAUAACUAUUGGAAACGAUAGCUAAUACCGCAUAAUAGUAGAUGUUGCAUGACAUUUGCUUAAAAGGUGCAAUUGCAUCACUACCAGAUGGACCUGCGUUGUAUUAGCUAGUUGGUGGGGUAACGGCUCACCAAGGCGACGAUACAUAGCCGACCUGAGAGGGUGAUCGGCCACACUGGGACUGAGACACGGCCCAGACUCCUACGGGAGGCAGCAGUAGGGAAUCUUCGGCAAUGGACGGAAGUCUGACCGAGCAACGCCGCGUGAGUGAAGAAGGUUUUCGGAUCGUAAAGCUCUGUUGUAAGAGAAGAACGAGUGUGAGAGCGGAAAGUUCACACUGUGACGGUAUCUUACCAGAAAGGGACGGCUAACUACGUG